rnacentral:lncRNA from 1 species
CCCAUUGUCUAAACUGAGGAGCGUUUUCUGGAGGUUUGGGAAUGGUUCCGUCAAUGAAGCCUAUCUUAUUUCUAGCGGAUAGGUAGACGAUUAUAUUACGUCUCCAUCCCCCAAAACCAAUCCCUGAAUAAUGAUUGCUUACCAAAGAUAUUCCCGGGACAUCAGAAGACAAGAGAAACAAAGGAUUCGAGGGGUCAAUGACAACAUUAUCAGUCCUAGACUCAGAGGUAUCACCAAUAUUAACCAUUUUUGACGGAUAGAUUUGUAACUUGUAAGAUGGAAACCCUAACUGUUCCUAGACACACAAGGACUUCAGGAACCGGAAUAACCCUAUGUUUGAACUGAUGAGGAGAAGUGUGAGACUCAAAAAACGCAGAGAAAAUCGACGAUUACUGAAUAAUAACCAGCCCAACAUUAACCAUUUUUGACUGAUAGACUUGUAACUUGUAAGAUGGAAACCCUAACUAUUCCUAGAUACACAAGAACUUCAGGAAACGAAUUAAUCCUAUGUUUGAACCGAUGAGGAGAAGUGUGAGACUAAAAAAAACUCAGAAAAAUCAACGAUUACUGAAUAAUAACCAGAGAAAACAGAGAGAAAGAGAAAAAACCUAGAUUUGCUAGAGAAGACAGAAACUUUGACGAAACCCAGUGAGGGUAACAUCGCGACGUAGCCCAUGACGAUCGGAAUCGGAAUCCCCGCUCUGAUACCAUGUCAAAAUUAUUAAACUCCAUUGAUGAACAGAUAGUUUUCAGAUGAGAGAGAGAGAGAGAGAGAGAGAGAGAGAGAGAGAGAGAGAGAGAGAGAAGAACCGAUGAGUUUUCAUUUUCUGUUCUUCAGUAAAA